AGCUUGCUCUUCNCGGUUAGCGGCGGACGGGUGAGUAACACGUAGGCACCUGCCUGUACGACUGGGAUAACUCCGGGAAACCGGAGCUAAUACCGGAUAGGAUGUCAGACCGCAUGGUCUGACAUGGAAAGGUCUUGUAACCACGUACAGAUGGGCCUGCGGCGCAUUAGCUAGUUGGUGGGGUAACGGCCUACCAAGGCGACGAUGCGUAGCCGACCUGAGAGGGUGAUCGGCCACACUGGGACUGAGACACGGCCCAGACUCCUACGGGAGGCAGCAGUAGGGAAUCUUCCGCAAUGGACGAAAGUCUGACGGAGCAACGCCGCGUGAACGAUGAAGGUUUUCGGAUCGUAAAGUUCUGUUGUUAGGGAAGAACCGCCGGGAUGACCUCCCGGUCUGACGGUACCUAACCAGAAAGCCCCGGCUAACUACGUGCCAGCAGCCGCGGUAAUACCUAGGGGGCAAGCGUUGUCCGGAAUUAUUGGGCGUAAAGCGCGCGCAGGCCGCUUCUUAAGUCUCGUGUGAAUGCCCACGGCUCAGCCGUGGAGAGCCACUUGAAACUGGGAAGCUUGAGUGCAGGAGAGGACAGCGGAAUUCCACGUGUAGCGGUGAAAUGCGUAGAGAUGUGGAGGAACACCCGUGGCGAACGCGGCUCUCUGGCCUGUAACUGACGCUGAGGCGCGAAAGCGUGGGGAGCGAACAGGAUUAGAUACUCUGGUAUUCCACGCCAUACACGAUCAGUGCUAAGUGUUGGGGACUCCUAUCCUCAUUGCCGCAGCUAACGCAAUAAGCACUCCGCCUGGGGAGUACGGCCGCAAGGCUGAAACUCAAAAGAAUUGACAGGGACCUGCACA
rnacentral:rRNA from 1 species